rnacentral:misc_RNA from 1 species
GAAACGCGAUAUGUAAUGUGAAUUGCAGACUUUAGUGAAUCAUCGAAUCUUUGAACGCACAUUGCGCCCCGUGGUAUUCCGCGGGGCAUACCUGUUCGAGCGUCAGUUCAACCCUCCAGCUCCGCUGGGUCUUGGGGCUUGCCGGCCUGGCAUCCCUUAAAUACAGAUGCGGUGUUACACAGCCUUAAGCGUAGUACUUUUCUCGCUCCAGGGUCUGUCGUGGCGCCUGCUACCCCCAUCUCAAUGGUUGACCUCGAAUCAGGUAGGGAUACCCGCUGAACUUAA